ACGAAGGAGAAAUAUUCUUAUGAGAAGGAAGUGGUAAAGCAGGAGGAACACAUAGAAAAGAUGAAAACAGAUGGAAAGGAUCCAUAUGAUAUAAAGAAACAGGGAGAAGUUCUCGAUGAAUCCAAGGACAUGAUUCCUGAUACAAAGAGAAGGCUUGCUGAAGGACCAGAGGUUCUCCAGAAGUAUAUGGAACAAGCUGACGAACUGAAGGAAACAGAGGAAUUCGAAACAGCUGUGACAAUGUGCAAAGAAGCAGUAACAGCGCUGUCAUCCUGAAGUCACUGUAAUGAUGAGUCAGUGUAAUGUCAAUGUGGACUCCUGUGUUUUGUAUUCUGUUAGGAAGCUCUUAAUACUAGUAUAGUUUUCACAUGUGUUACUGUACGUCGAGAGUAACAGGAAUGAUUAUAUUCAGUCAGAUGCACAUUACCAUAUAAGAUAGUAACGCUGGUCAUGAAUGAGUCGGGGAAAUGAUGCCUGGUAUAGCCUGGAAAAUAAGUCGAGAAUGAAAGGGGGGUUCAUUGGUCAGAGGACAGUUGUUGUAUUGGCCUAGUCAUGGGUCAUUGAUUAACAUCAAAUUCAAAUUUCAUAGUAAAAAGAUAAGUACAUGUACAAAUAUCUGCUACAAUUGGUCGUAUCCUAUGAACCAACAUUUUUUUUAAUGCUCAAUAUAUGGGAAAGAAAUAUUGCCAGACAGUCCAUCAUAUACAUUGUACCUUCCUGUAUGUUAGUUUACAUUUUUGAAGUGAAAAGUCCAGUUAAAUGGUAUAUGUAUUUAAUUACUAAUAGGUUGAGAUACUUCAAUACUGUACAGCAUGUAAUUUGUCUAAACACCCCUUGGUUGUAUGAAUGUAACAGACAUUGGUGGCACAAUGAUUGUAUAUAAUCAGAUAAAUUAGAUAUGAGACUUGUCAGAAACUUUUUUAUAAAGUUGUAGCUUUACAGUACUACUGGUGUAAGUAAACGUAUAUGCUUUCUUUCUAUAUAUGACAUUUACAAUGUAUAGUUCAAAUCUAUACAUCAAACAUUGUAAAGACUUCUUAAUGCAAUGAAAUUUCUUCAACCUGUGUAUGUCUUACUCAUUUAUUGGAACUUAAUGUUGUUUAGGCCAAAAAGUGCACUCUUUAGGUAAAUGGUACUAUCAAGUUAUUACCCUGGUGUUGAUGAGAUUUUGAAUAUAGUCUGUUUCUAUAAAAAAAUGCCAUAUAGAUGACUUGUUGCGAUACAUCUGGCAGAAUUAUGAUCCUUAGUCUUGCAGAGUUAUUUUCUCUUGGGAGCAGGUAUUGAUUGU